rnacentral:rRNA from 1 species
UACGAAGGGGGCUAGCGUUGUUCGGAAUCACUGGGCGUAAAGCGCACGUAGGCGGAUUUUUAAGUCAGGGGUGAAAUCCCGAGGCUCAACCUCGGAACUGCCUUUGAUACUGGAGAUCCUGAGUCCGGAAGAGGUAAGUGGAACUGCGAGUGUAGAGGUGAAAUUCGUAGAUAUUCGCAAGAACACCAGUGGCGAAGGCGGCUUACUGGUCCGGAACUGACGCUGAGGUGCGAAAGCGUGGGGAGCAAACAGG